UACGGGGGGGGCAAGCGUUGUUCGGAAUUACUGGGCGUAAAGGGCUCGUAGGCGGCCAACUAAGUCAUACGUGAAAUCCCUCGGCUUAACCGGGGAACUGCGUCUGAUACUGGAUGGCUUGAGUUCGGGAGAGGGAGGCGGAAUUCCAGGUGUAGCGGUGAAAUGCGUAGAGAUGCGGAGGAACACCGAUGGCGAAGGCAGCCCCCUGGGUCGACACUGACGCUCAGGCACGAAAGCGUGGGGAGCAAACAGG
rnacentral:rRNA from 1 species